UUUUAAGAAAAACAAUAAAACUGUCGUAGCUAAGAUGGUUUCCGUUAACAUUUCAUUGUUUUAAGUACGUUUUGUAAGUUCUUUGUUUGUUUGGUUAAUUCUUCUUUUUUGUUGUAACGCGAAAGGACUUGAAACGCGAUGAAAGAGUCAGCACUGCUAAUGACGUCAAAGGAAACUUGACUUAUGUUUUGUAGUAAUUACCGUUAGUAUAAAUUGAUGUAAAUAAUUAAUUCUAACAGACAGCGUAGAAUACUCCAGUGAUGUAUCGUAUUCGUAGUUUGUAAAAUAAAUAAAAUGUUUAAAACGAAGAGUGUUAGUGACCAGCUGUGGAAGCUAGAUGUAAAAAAGCAGAUAAAGAAACGACAUCUUCGUCAGUAUUCGUAAGCCAAUGCAUGCAGUGAGAGCUGUGAGUCCUGUGAUCUUAUUCCAAAAAAACUUUUCCGAUCGAAUUUAGCGGCUUUUACUACAACUAGUAAAGCUAGACCAAGGAACAAACACGUUGUACCGCCUUUCUGUAUAACAUGUAAAAUAAGGAUUUAUACUACAGUGAUUCGAAAAGUAGAAAGUGAAAAUUGGAUCGAUGCACAAAAGAUCGAUGGAGUCAAGAUACGCAAAGCAGCAGAGAUAAAAUAUGAGAUAAAGUAUUUUGCUGCAGAUAAAAGGCAAAGAUUGUGUAGCCGUAGAAAUGAAGUAUCACAGACGAUGCAAUAAAAAAUACAUUUCAUUUUUGACCCACGGGAUGGAGGAUCCAGAAGCAGUCACAUCCAAAGGCCCACUCCACUUUAUAGAACAUACUUUGAAUCCUUCUGCAAGCAGUUUGUACAAACAAAAAUCAUUCAGGAAGGACGUGUUUUCUACAUGAAAAACUUUUGUAGAGCUGGAACAGACUGUUUUAGUAGUUGAUGAAGACUUGUAUUUAAAAAUACAACAUAUAAGAUGGAAGGAACAAGUUUUCUACAACUGGUUUGUUCGUCUUGGAGGAUUUCAUGCUUGUAUGUGCUUUUAGUCCGCUAUAUCUAAACUUUUCGAGGAUGGAGGACUUAAAGUAUUGCCUCGCAUAAAUACAAAUAUCAUACAAAAUUAUUAUGUGAUGACUAUAGUAUUGUUUGAUUUAAAAGUUAAAGUGUAUAUGUCUUCAUCAAACAGGACAUCUUCAUAGAGUCAAUGAUCGUUUCAGCAGGAUCCAUUAAGGAUGUUUUAUCUAUGAAUCAAUACAAUGUAUAAGUUUCCUGUCCUA